rnacentral:rRNA from 1 species
GGGACACGUGGUAUCCUGUCUGAAUAUGGGGGGACCAUCCUCCAAGGCUAAAUACUCCUGACUGACCGAUAGUGAACCAGUACCGUGAGGGAAAGGCGAAAAGAACCCCGGCGAGGGGAGUGAAAAAGAACCUGAAACCGUGUACGUACAAGCAGUGGGAGCACGCUUAGGCGUGUGACUGCGUACCUUUUGUAUAAUGGGUCAGCGACUUAUAUUCUGUAGCAAGGUUAACCGAAUAGGGGAGCCGAAGGGAAACCGAGUCUUAACUGGGCGUUAAGUUGCAGGGUAUAGACCCGAAACCCGGUGAUCUAGCCAUGGGCAGGUUGAAGGUUGGGUAACACUAACUGGAGGACCGAACCGACUAAUGUUGAAAAAUUAGCGGAUGACUUGUGGCUGGGGGUGAAAGGCCAAUCAAACCGGGAGAUAGCUGGUUCUCCCCGAAAGCUAUUUAGGUAGCGCCUCGUGAAUUCAUCUCCGGGGGUAGAGCACUGUUUCGGCAAGGGGGUCAUCCCGACUUACCAACCCGAUGCAAACUGCGAAUACCGGAGAA